UCAGCCGUCGAAAACAGCAGACCUCAGAAUGAGACAGGGAACGAGAAUUCUGUGCAAGAAAAGCAGCAAAGAAAUAUGUGCAGAAAUGCUUGUACCUGCGACUGAAUUACCUCUCCAACUAGAGCAGCGGUUCUCAAUCCUGCUGCACGUUUGAACCACCAGAAGAGCUUUAGGAACCUUUGAUGCCCUAGCCACACUUCUGGAAAUCUUGGUCCUGGCUAUCUGGGACGCAGGCCUCAGAGUGUUUAGAAGCUUCCCAAAGCAGAUACGAUUGACAACCACUGACUGAUGGAGUCUGAAAGACACAAAGAAGCCCAAACUGACCACUGGAUUUCUAAUGGGAAACUUUGGAUAAAGUGAGGUGGGGCAGGCCGUGGAAACUCAAGGGUAGAGUGAAUUUCCCCAAUUGUUUGUGGUAGUUUGACCUGUCUCGGAGAAUUAUCCAUGUAUUGUGGGUCGGUAUACAUAAGACAAGAAAGAAAAUGAUUCCAAAUGGGAAUUUUCAUUGUGAAAUUAAGUCUUUACAGCACCUCACACGAUUCAAUAAAAAUACAUAGUAAAUACAAAUACAUAAAAUAAAUAAAGAAAAUACAAAUAAAAUAAACAUCUGUGUAUAA